rnacentral:rRNA from 1 species
UACGUAGGGUGCGAGCGUUGUCCGGAAUUAUUGGGCGUAAAGAGCUCGUAGGCGGCUUGUCGCGUCGGAUGUGAAAGCCCGGGGCUUAACCCCGGGUCUGCAUUCGAUACGGGCAGGCUAGAGUUCGGUAGGGGAGAUCGGAAUUCCACGUGUAGCGGUGAAAUGCGUAGAGAUGUGGAGGAACACCAGUGGCGAAGGCGACUCUUUGGCCUGUAACUGACGCUGAGGCGCGAAAGCGUGGGGAGCAAACAG